GGAUGUGAGGGCGACCUGGCUGUGACAUCUGUCACCCCAGUGACCGCCAGGGUUGAUUCUGCUGAUCUGGCUGGCUAGGCGGGCGUCCCUUUCCUCUCUCACCGCUCCAUGUGCGCCCCUCCCAGAACUCAAACAAGCUCUCAAGGUCCAAAUGAGCUACCCCUUCCUACCCAAGGUCUCUCGAAGUUGGUACAAUGAGCUUUAGUGGUUAAUUACGUAAGAUAGCGUCCAGUUCAGGAUUCAUCACUACAGUUUAAUGUCGGAAUCAUUCCUUAGACAAAGCGGAUUCCUUCUAAAAUGUGUAAACAACACAAAGGUGAAGGUCAGUCUAAUAAUGUUU
rnacentral:sRNA from 1 species